GCGUUAUCAAUAAUGUACUAGACUCGCUACGUUCAAAACCACAUAGAGCUUACUACAAAAAGCGAGAGCGCGGUGGAUAACAACUGAGUUUAGAAAAUGUGUUCUAGAUAGAGCUCUGGUUUAUUACAGCGGUUGUUCAAGCGUCAAUACGAGACAUUUUCCAACAAAGUACAGCUACAGAUAUAAAAUGGCAAACAACACAGCUGGAUAAAGCAUCCUAAGUCUGCACCUCGUAAAGCUAUGACAAUGAGAGAAAUGUAUCCACCCAGGCAAUCAGAAUAUAGAGUGCAACCCGGAAGGUGCGCUGCAGCUCAAAGAGAGCCAUGCUUAUUGGCAUCAAGUUCUCCAUCAGCUUUACCUCACAGGCACCACUUGUGAUUUCAUAGUUUGAACACCAAUGGACAUGGAAGUGAUUCUCAUCCUUAGAGAUGAAUUAUGGGAAUUAAACUUGGCAUACAUGAUUGAGCCUUUGUGCCCUCUCUGCAAUAACCAACUAGACAGACUUGUGAAAAUUUAAAUGUCUUCCAUUAGUUUUAUUUUGUUUUUUGCUACAAAUGAUCAGUGUAAAGAUGUGCAUGAAUCACCAUUGUAACAAUUUCUUUGACUAGCAACCUUAAAUAAAUGUUCACUUUAUCAUUUACUUGAAUGUAUUUAAUGCAACUUGACAAUGCAGAAUAAUGUGAGUAAGAAGUUUUAUUAUAUACCCAUCAAUGUAUCGUUUGUUGAUACUGUGGAUUUCACAGCGUGUGAUCCGGUUUUCCGGAUCACCACACUGUGGUUUUCUGAUUCCGUAUCAGUAUCCUCUGAAACUGAUGCCGUCACAAUGCAUCAACGCACAACGCAACGUUGUUUUUUUUUUUUUGCUUAAAAUAUUCACCGCGUCACAAACAAAACUGCACACAAAACAUAAUUUCACUGUAUGUCUGUAUUUUUGAUAAUUUGGAUUACAUUUAGUAUCAUAUAAAUGUGGAUUUAAAAUGCAUAAGGGGGUAUAUAAUAAUAAAGAUAAUAAAUGUAAUCCAAAUUAUCAAAAAUACAGACAUACAGUGAAAUUAUGUUUUGUGUAUGCAGUUUUGUUUGUGACACGGCCAAUAUUUUAAGCAAAAAACGUUGCGUUGAUGCAUUGUGAGGAUACUGAUACGGAAUCAGAAAACCACAGUGUGGUGAUCCGGAAAACCGGAUCACACGCUGUGAAAUCCACAGUAUCAAAGAAUGAUACAUUGAUGGGUAUAUAAUAAAUGUAUAUAUGUCUGUAUUGUGAAGGUAUAUGAUUUAGAAUAUGGAUGUUUUUAAUUAUUCAAUUGCACACUCCACAUGAAUUUGACUCUUCCUGGUCUUGUAACAGCUGUGCUUCAUCCUUACUGAAAUGAGAUUUUGAUGAAAGAAAAGGUGAUAUGUUCAAUGUCACUCCUGAUUAAAGUUUAUCAAAUAUA